rnacentral:rRNA from 1 species
UGGGGAAUAUUGGACAAUGGGCGCAAGCCUGAUCCAGCCAUGCCGCGUGAGUGAUGAAGGCCCUAGGGUUGUAAAGCUCUUUCACCGGUGAAGAUAAUGACGGUAACCGGAGAAGAAGCCCCGGCUAACUACGUGCCAGCAGCCGCGGUAAUACGAAGGGGGCUAGCGUUGUUCGGAUUUACUGGGCGUAAAGCGCACGUAGGCGGACUUUUAAGUCAGGGGUGAAAUCCCGGGGCUCAACCCCGGAACUGCCUUUGAUACUGGAAGUCUUGAGUAUGGUAGAGGUGAGUGGAAUUCCGAGUGUAGAGGUGAAAUUCGUAGAUAUUCGGAGGAACACCAGUGGCGAAGGCGGCUCACUGGACCAUUACUGACGCUGAGGUGCGAAAGCGUGGGGAGCAAACAGG